rnacentral:lncRNA from 1 species
UGAGUGAGGGUACUUAUUGAAAGAAAAGUCAUUAGACAGGUUGUAAGAACAUGUUCCAUUUACCUGUACUUUACUGCAGACUCAACACUUCUUAACUGAGUUUAAAUAGGCCAUAUGGAUCCAUGCUCUAUUUUCAAAAGCUUUGGUAAUCAAAGCUGUUUACUUGCACACACUAACAAGUUUGCUUGUACUUGAUAGUGUGCAGUACAUAACAAUGUAGAAGUGAUUUUCCAGUUUAAUAUACAGAAUCAUCCAUGAGUAACCUAUUUGUAUGUCGAUUCCCUGAAAAGUGUAAACAUUUUUGUUUGUUUGAGCAGACCAGCCCAACAACAGCAACACUGGCUCAACCCAUGUAGUGUGUCUGAGGCGGGACAAUCUGUUAGUUCCGACCAAUAGCAUGUGUGGGGAGUGUUUAGAUCAACAAUCGAAUUUUUAAAAGUCACCCCAGUUUAUCUGAAUUCAAUGGCCGUAGCAUCCUUUUAUUCAAUAUGUUCUCUGUGAUUGAGCAGAAGGUUUGUUAAAGGACAUGCUUUUGAUGAAUGGCUAGCAGAUCGACCUCAUUAAGAAUGACAAUACUCAUUGUGAAAUGUGGUCUGUCUCCCUCUCUCUGUCUUCCUGUCCAUCUCCGUCCAAUCAAUUUUGCCACACUGAAUUAAUCUGAGAAGGUGAGCAGACAUCAAUCAUAUUAGAGGGAUGUGGCCUUAGAAGAGUAUCUCAUUAAAGCACAUUCACAUUGUACAAGGCCAAAUCCACCAUUUCCAAGCCAGACACAAUAUUGUCAAGCCUUGAUGGAUGAUUACAACAAAAACCAGACAUAAAAAUUAAAAUCUGAUGAUUACCCACAUCUGCCCGAUGUUGUAUGUACAAGCUUUGUUUCCUAAAUGCCAGUGAUGUAUGCACUGAUUGAUUCUUUCUUUUUAUCCCUUCAAAUGCCAGGUUUGUCAGGGGUCAAAAGCCAGGUUGUUGAAAGGAGUGAAUGGGAGGUCGGCUCUCUGGUGCUGCUAGACAUCUGUAAUCCAUCUCCAUGCAAAUGUGAGGAUAUCAUACAAUAAAUGUUAUGAAAGUAGACUUUAGGUUAUUAUUCACAAGGAGUAACUUGUAUACGUAAUUCUGCUGUCCUUGUUGUCAGUGUGUGUGAUAUGUACACAGAUGGCAACUGCUGAGAGCAUGUGCUCAUGUGAAAUACUGCCUGUCUAGUUUUUUGGUGUGAGUGUGC